AUUUUGCAUUAUAGCUUUAUGUAGUUAUUUGUCUUUAAUCUCCCCACUUUUUGGCUUUUAUAAAAUUACAGUGUCUUUUUGGUUUUGUUAAUGUUCAAUUAUCAUCUAUAAUUACAAAAUAAGUUUCUCUUCGUGAAUUUAUUUCAUAAGCAUACUUCAUAGAUAUUUGCUUGCUGUUAAAAUUUUCUGUCAGUUUUCUGGUGACUGUAGUCUGUCCCCAUAUAUUCUUUGUGCGGGUAUCUAAUUUUUGUUUUAAACACCCAUGACUUCAUAAAUGAACUAUAAUCCUACCGUUUAAUAUCUUGAUUUUUGUUAGUUUAUAAGUUUGAGAUGUUUUAUCAUUUUAACAUUAAUAUGCAUUUUAUUUAUUUGUGAAAAAACAGUUGUCUCUCUUGGGAAAGAAAGAUGACAGACCCUGAUACCUUCUGUUUUUUUACAUGAUGUUUCAAGAAGCAUAUGCACAAUCCACUCUUGCGCAUAAACCCCAUACGAGGCUUGCAAUUUAACCUAUUUUGAGCUGUUUUCUGGAGCCUGCCUUUCCUAUGUUGAAUUUGCAUAUAAAGGAAAAGCCUGAUAUUAAUAGGGUUUAGGCUUGUGGCUUGAUAAAAAAGUGUCAUUUCUAUUAUCAUUUAUUAACACUGGAGGUAGAAAACUCUGGUAAUUUACCAUGGUAGUGUCAUAUGAAUGGUACUAUCUCAGUGAAGUACUCGUGCUUGAUAUUGAAUCCAACUUUGCCCAGUCUCUUUCUUGAUAUAUGAGUUCUGUAGAAAGGAGCCGAAUUAGUUUCUAUAUGUUAUGAACUUACUCAUAGGCUGUAAUCUGGUAGAUUAGGAUUUAUUAUUUAGUUUCUUAAGAAAUAGGAUCAGUCAUUAACUGAUUCCUAAUUAGUUGCUUUCCUAGUUUGUUAAGAUUCCUGAGUUUGUAGGAUUGUCCUAUUAUUUUUCCUAGAAUAAUGGAUUGGAAUGCCGGUCAUCCUAAUAUAAGUAUUAGGCUGUAUUUCCUUGAUAAUCAAGAAGAAUUUUCCUUCACCAAAAUUCUCAUGGCGUCAGAGCUAGGCUCUAAACCCUAAUACGACAUGGAUGCACAAACCACCUCCUCCUCAGAAGUCAAUUCCAGACCCGAGCAAAAUCCCUCAGCUAAAAACUAUGAAAACUCCUCAGCCAAUAUCAUUGAAAACUCUCCUCUUCCUAUCACUAGUCACAAACUCAAUGGCCACAAUUUUCUUCAGUGGUCACAAUCCGUCCUUAUGUUUAUUUUUGGCAGAGGCAAGGAUGAUUAUCUCACUGAUGCUCCUAUUCCGGCGACAAUGGAUCGCAAGUAUCGCAUGUGGAAGAUUGAAAAUCACAUGGUCAUGUCAUGGCUAAUAAUCUCCAUAACCAUGGAAAUUGGAGAAAAUUUCUUUCUCUACAAAGCAACCAAGGAAAUCUGGGAUAGGGCAAGAGAAACUUACUCUAGUUCCGAAAAAUACCUCUAAACUUUUUGAAAUUGAAACUUGACUUCAUGAUCUACAACGAGGGGAGAUAACUAUCACUCAAUAUUUCAACACAAUAACCUGGUACUAGCAGCACCUUGAUAUGUUUGAAAUAUACCCUUGGAAGUGUCCAGAUGAUGCAACUUUACACAAAAAGAUUAUUGAUCAAAAGAGAACAUUCAAAUUUCUCCUUGGUCUUAAUAAGGAUUUGGAUGAAGGGGUAGAAUCUUGGGUAGCAGGCCUCUGCCUUCCAUCCGAGAGACAUUUGUUGAAGUUAGAAGAGAAGAAAGUAGGAAGAAACCGAUGAUGACAGAAAAUAUGAGUUCCCCAGUUGCUGAAGGCUCAGUCUUGUACACACAUAUCUGAGGAUAACAAGCAAAGAAAAGGAAGGCCAUGGUGUGACCAUUGUAAGAAACCUGGUCUCUUCAGAGAAACUUGCUGGAAAUUACAUGGGAAGCCUGUUGACUGGAGGCCUAACCGAACACGCUAGGAUCGGGACAAUCGUGCAAAUGUUGCCAACACUUCUGACAACACCAACACUAGCACUGAAAUCAAUCCAUUCACCAGGGAGCAAAUUGAGGUGCUGUAGAAAUUACUCGGACAUAUAUCACCCACUACCGAACAACAUACUAACAUGCUAGUACAUCAAGGCAGCAGAUUCGGGGAAGGUGAUUGGCAGUGCUGAAAUUUGUGGUCUCUACUUGCUCAAAAGGAACUCUCUUCUACAUGGACAAUUUCAUUCAAGUUGUGGUUCUGAGUCUGUUUCUAACUCUUUCUCUAAUUCUGUUUCUGUUUCAAAUGAGAAUCAAGUCAUGUUAUGGCAAUUCCGCCUUGGUCAUCCAAAUUUUUUGUACCUUGAAAAAUUGCUUCCCCAUUUGUUCUUCAAUAAAAAUUCCAAGUUUUUUCAUAGUGAAA